rnacentral:rRNA from 1 species
UACGUAGGGGGCAAGCGUUGUCCGGAUUUAUUGGGCGUAAAGAGCUCGUAGGCGGUUUCGUAAGUCGGGUGUGAAAACUCUGGGCUCAACCCAGAGACGCCACCCGAUACUGCGAUGACUAGAGUCUGGUAGGGGAUCGUGGAAUUCCUGGUGUGAGCGGUGAAAUGCGCAGAUAUCAGGAGGAACACCAGCGGCGAAGGCGGCGAUCUGGGCUAGUACUGACGCUGAGGAGCGAAAGCGUGGGGAGCGAACAGG